CUCCGGUGAUCCCUGCCGGACCUGACUGCUAUCGGAUUGGUACUAAGCCAUGCGAGUCGUUGUAGCAAUACAAGGCGGACGGCUCAGUAACACGUAGUCAACCUAACCUAUGGACGUGGAUAACCUCGGGAAACUGAGAAUAAACCGCGAUAGAUCAUUAUGCCUGGAAUGGCUUAUGGUUCAAACAAUUUAUUGCCGUAGGAUGGGACUGCGGCCUAUCAGCUUGUUGGUGAGGUAAUGGCCCACCAAGGCUAUAACAGGUACGGGCUCUGAGAGGAGAAGCCCGGAGAUGGGUACUGAGACACGGACCCAGGCCCUAUGGGGCGCAGCAGGCGAGAAACCUUAGCAAUGUGCGAAAGCACGACUAGGUUAAUCCGAGUGAUUUCUGCUAAAGAGGGCUUUUCUCGGCUGUAAAUAGGCCGGGGAAUAAGGGGAGGGCAAGUCUGGUGUCAGCCGCCGCGGUAAUACCAGCUCCUCGAGUGGUCGGGACGAUUAUUGGGCCUAAAGCACCCGUAGCCGGUUCCGUAAGUCUUCUGUUAAAUCCAGCUGCUCAACGGCUGGCCUGCAGGAGAUACUGCGAGACUAGGAGGCGGGAGAGGCGGACGGUACUCCGCGUGUAGGGGUAAAAUCCUUUGAUCCGCGGAAGACCACCAGUGGCGAAGGCGGUCUGCCAGAACGCGCUCGACGGUGAGGGGUGAAAGCUGGGGGAGCGAACCGGAUUAGAUACCCGGGUAGUCCCAGCCGUAAACGAUGCGAGCUAGAUGAUUCGAUCGCAGUUCGCGAUCGAAGUGUCGCAGGGAAGCCGUUAAGCUCGCCGCCUGGGGAGUACGGUCGCAAGGCUGAAUCGUAUGCAGAAAAUUCUGUAUGCGCAGUUCACUUUAAGGGAAUUGGCGGGGGAGCA
rnacentral:rRNA from 1 species